UGUAAUGGAGGGGGCGAGGGAGAAGCACGAAGAAGUCACCAAGUCAUUCCCCCUAUGGAAGCGGCGGGGAAGGCGUCUUCAUCAGCGGGCAGGCCUGUGCUGGAGCAGGGAAGAAGACGGGCUGGGCCCGGGUGGGGGAGGUCACCCCAGAGGACAGCUCCGGCCAUUGCUGGUCUCGUCCCUGAUGACCUCCGUGACUAGAUGGUCAGUACUUCACAAGUGAAGGUGUCCGCGAAGAAUCCGGGUUUGGUCUAUAAAAGACCUACAUGAGAGCCGGUCUCCAGACCACCAGAAAUGCUCAUGUCUGGCUGAGGUAGUAGUUUGUGUAGUUCGGGGGCAGUGGUGUUUGCCCAUGGAGAUAACUAGACAAACUACUGCCUUGCCAGAUGUGGGAAGAUUCUUCAGGACGACUUCUACAGGCUUCUGUCCUCCUUGAAGAUCUAGGUACAUUGCAGCUGAAUCGGCGGGAUUUCACUGAAGUCAUAGUAUUGUUGCCUUCACUUUUUUUCUCACCAGGUGAAGUGUAAUAAAGUAACUUUUUUUGUUUGUAAUGUACAUUCUGUAUUCUACACCAAAUGAGUAGAAAAAAAGAGAGAAAGUUGAACAACUUGUAACCUAAUUUGCCAUCUUUAUCAUAUCCCUAUGAAGAUCUUUAUCCAGGGCAGGGCAGAUGUAUUUACAUCUACUGAACCUAUCUAAAUGGGUGAAAGCAGAGCCUCUGUUAUCUUACCGCAGCUCCAUUCCUUCUCAGUCCUGACCGCUAAGAGAACUUCAGCCACCUCAAUAGUGUUUAGCAAGAUCCUUCUUCGCCCUUAAAGGAAAAAGGGAGACGAGUGCCUUGUGGUAAUUAAAGGGGUUAUGCCAAUUUUGAAAGUUAUCUACAAGAUAGGGGCUAACUUAACUCAUCAGUAGAGAUUCGACUGCUGGGACGCCCACUGAUCCUGAAAACAGGGAUCCCAUUUCCCCGUCCUGUUGGAGCCGCAGACUGAGCUUGCGCCCUGCAUUCAUCCUCUACAGGACUGCCGUGGAUGGGUGAGUACAGCUCUGGGCGCAUGCUCAGCCUGCAGCUCAAUCAGGAGGGGGACAUGGGAUCCCCAUUCUCAGGACUGAUGGGGGUUCCAGCAGUUUGAUCCCUACCGAUUAGUUAGUGAACCCCUGUCCUGUGGAUAUGGAAUAACUUUUAAACUUGUCACAUCUCCUUUAAGCUUUUCAUUUUCUUGCAGCUCUGUUACAAAACAGUAUUGCAGGGAAAUAACAACAUUUUGGCACCAGGAAUGUGUUCUUCAAUUCCACUUGCCUCAAGGGAAUCAGUGGGAAUGGUUGACCAUGGGAUUUGUGACCAGGAAACUGGCUAAAAGUCUUAGCCAUGUGUAAGUGCGUGGUUAUUUGUCAGGGCGGAAUACCUGCCCAAUUUCCAGAACAAUGCAGGGAUCACGACCAGUUAUGGCAGCUGGAUAUGUAGAGUAUGGAAGAAUGGAUUCUAACAGGAGAAUUUUUUUUUAAGACUGGAUUUACAUAAUGUUAUGUAAUAGCUUUUUUUAAAUAAAUAUAUUUUUUGCUGUACUUGUAAAUGCCUGUUUGCAUGUAUUUGCUGCCACCUAGUGGUUGUAAGUGUACUUCCUUAUUUUCAACUAUGAGCGGGUCAAUCAGAUUGUUAUUGUCCCAAUGCAUCUAAGAUGAAAACUGAAGCAUCGUUACACAUAGUUCCUUUAGUUUAGCAUUUCCUUGGUGAUAACAUCACGCAAUCCCUGCAGUUCUUCUCUAUCUGAUAGAUGUGGGUCCUGAUUGUAUGGGACCCACAUCUAUCAGACUUCUUAUGGCAUAUCUUGUAGCUAUACCAUAAAAGUCCUAGAUGGGAAUACACUCUUUAAAAAGACCAUAUAAAUACACAAUGGUCAGCCACUAACAGAUGAUGUGAUUUAAAGGGGUUAUCCUGGAAAAUAUAUUGAUGACCUACCCUCAGGAUAAAUAAUCAAUAUCAUAUUGGUGGGGGUCUGAC